rnacentral:rRNA from 1 species
AAGAGACAGCAGUCGCCACGGGAAUACAGAGGGUGCGAGCGUUAAUCGGAUUUACUGGGCGUAAAGCGUGCGUAGGCGGCUUUUUAAGUCGGAUGUGAAAUCCCUGAGCUUAACUUAGGAAUUGCAUUCGAUACUGGGAAGCUAGAGUAUGGGAGAGGAUGGUAGAAUUCCAGGUGUAGCGGUGAAAUGCGUAGAGAUCUGGAGGAAUACCGAUGGCGAAGGCAGCCAUCUGGCCUAAUACUGACGCUGAGGUACGAAAGCAUGGGGAGCAAACAGGAUUAGAUACCCCGGUAGUCCCUGUCUCUUAUAC